rnacentral:rRNA from 1 species
CGGCAACAGCUCAAAUUUGAAAUCUGGCCUUUGGCCCGAGUUGUAAUUUGUAGAGGAUGCUUUUGGUGCGGUGCCUUCCGAGUUCCCUGGAACGGGACGCCAUAGAGGGUGAGAGCCCCGUCUGGUUGGAUGCCAAAUCUCUGUAAAGUUCCUUC